CCAGGCCCACUCCCCUUCUCACACCACCUCUCUAUCUCUUUCUGUGACCCCUUCUCCUCCUUCCCAUACCCCUUCUCCUUCAACUUCAAACUCACCUUCUCAGCCCCCCUCACCCUCUAUUGGCUUAACUUUCUCUCCGCCCCCCUCGCCCUCUCAAUCAGACCCACCCUCUGAAAUUACAUCCCCAAUCCAGCCUCCUUCCCCCAUCCAGCCUCCUUCCCCCAUCCCUCCUCCUUCCCCAAUCCCUCCUCCUUCCCCCAUCCAGCCGCCUUCCCCACCCAGUGAGUGGGCAGAAGAAGCCCCUGCUGAAUUAACUGUCAACCAUCAUGUUGCAGAGGAAAAUGUUGCCGUUGGAGAUCCCACAUCUUUUGCGGACAUUAUUGGCAACAUGAGGAUACAUCUCCAGGCCUUGCUGGGUCUUGUUGACCAAAUGCAAACGUUGUUUUAAUUUUUGUUUAAAAAAAAAAUAAAAAUAUGUUUAUAUUAUAAAAAAACCAAAACAAAAACAAAAAAUAAAAUUUGUUUUCAAGUUAA